UGCGAAGGGGGCUAGCGUUGCUCGGAAUCACUGGGCGUAAAGCGCACGUAGGCGGCUUACUAAGUCAGGGGUGAAAUCCUGGAGCUCAACUCCAGAACUGCCUUCGAUACUGAGAGUCUCGAGUCCGAGAGAGGUGAGUGGAACUGCGAGUGUAGAGGUGAAAUUCGUAGAUAUUCGCAAGAACACCAGUGGCGAAGGCGGCUCACUGGCUCGGUACUGACGCUGAGGUGCGAAAGCGUGGGGAGCAAACAGG
rnacentral:rRNA from 1 species